rnacentral:misc_RNA from 1 species
UACGGAGGGGGCGAGCGUUGUUCGGAAUUACUGGGCGUAAAGGGCGCGUAGGCGGUCGAUUGCGUCAGGUGUGAAAGCCCAGGGCUCAACCCUGGAUGUGCACUUGAUACGGGUCGGCUCGAGGAUGAGAGAGGAGUGUGGAAUUCCCAGUGUAGAGGUGAAAUUCGUAGAUAUUGGGAAGAACACCGGUGGCGAAGGCGGCACUCUGGCUCAUUUCUGACGCUGAGGCGCGAAAGCGUGGGGAGCAAACAGG